AAACCUUACCAUUCAUAGAAGUUCAUAUAAGCAAUAAUCAUCAAUGUAAAUUCUACAAAUUACUCAAUUCAAACAAUAUAUAACAUGUAUCUAACACUCAUACAGCUUCAUGAUUGAUACAAUUAUUAGGCAAUUAAAAUGCAAAUAAACAUAAGAAGUUUACCUGUGAUUCGCUUGAAUUAGCCAAAAUAGGACUCAAAGGCUCUCCUUUCAACAAAAUCACAAGCAACCUAUCAAU
rnacentral:lncRNA from 1 species